UACGGGGGGGGUAAGCGUUGUUCGGAAUUACUGGGCGUAAAGGGCUCGUAGGCGGCCAACUAAGUCAGACGUGAAAUCCCUCAGCUUAACUGGGGAACUGCGUCUGAUACUGGAUGGCUUGGAUUCGGGAGAGGAAUGCGGAAUUCCAGGUGUAGCGGUGAAAUGCAUAGAUAUCUGGAGGAACACCGGUGGCGAAGGCGGCAUUCUGGACCGAUAUUGACGCUGAGGAGCGAAAAGCCAGGGGAGCAAACGGGG
rnacentral:rRNA from 1 species